rnacentral:tRNA from 1 species
CCGUCGAUAGCUCAGUUGGUAGAGCGGUGGACUGUAGAGGUACCCUGCUGGCAUCCAUAGGUCGCUGGUUCGAAUCCGGCUCGACGGA